rnacentral:rRNA from 1 species
UACCAGCACCCCGAGUGGUCGGGACGAUUAUUGGGCCUAAAGCAUCCGUAGCCGGUUCUACAAGUCUUCCGUUAAAUCCACCUGCUUAACAGAUGGGCUGCGGAGGAUACUAUAGAGCUAGGAGGCGGGAGAGGCAAGCGGUACUUAGUGGGUAGGGGUAAAAUCCGUUGAUCCAUUGAAGACCACCAGUGGCGAAGGCGGCUUGCCAGAACGCACUCGACGGUGAGGGAUGAAAGCUGGGGGGAGCAAACAGG